UAGGCGACCGGGUGAGUAACACGUGACUAACCUACCUUCGAGUGGGGGAUAACCUCGGGAAACCGGGGCUAAUACCGCAUAAUAUCUUCGGGAUGAGAAGCCGAAGAUCAAAGGAGCAAUUCGCUGGAAGAGGGAGUCGCGGCUGAUUAGCUAGUUGGCGGGGUAAUGGCCCACCAAGGCUUUGAUCGGUAGCCGGCCUGAGAGGGCGCACGGCCACAGUGGAACUGAAACACGGUCCAG
rnacentral:rRNA from 1 species